ACGCACAAGCCUUUCGCCUUUUACUAAAGACUUCCGUGGAGAGGAACACUUACGAGUUCAACGUAUUUUUGGAAGGGCCUUGCUUCUGGCAGAGCC
rnacentral:snRNA from 8 species